GUGCAGUCGAUUUUGUGUGUGGUUGGUGCUGGAAUAUUACUCCUUAUCAGUCUGUCUCUUUGGAACAAUAUUCAGAUGCAGAACUGUUGUUGAUGUUGAAAUUGAAGAUGCGAAGACACGAUGUAACGAAACCGAGGGAAAAUCUACAGCUUUCUUAAACACUUGUUGAAAGUUGACAAGGCAGUAUACUACUUCAUCAAUAGAGAAAUUCGUCUCAGUAGAUAGAAGCCUAUCGAGUCUGACCAGCAAAGCAACUUUCCCCAACACUGAUUGAAAGUUAGCAAGACAGUACAUCAUUUCAUCAAAAGAAUUGCCUCGUCAUUUGCCUGGUAUUCAUCACUGAUUGAGAUAGAAGCCUAUCGAGUCUGGUCAGAAAAGCAACCUUUGAGAGACUGCUUGAACGUUAGAAAGACAGUACAUCAAUUUCAUCAAAAGAAUUUCGUCGUGGUAAUUUGUCUGGUAUUCAUCACUGAGCCAGAUGAGAGCCUAUCGCGUCUGGCCAGCAGAGCAACUUUCUAAGAGACUGCUUGAACGUUAGAAAGGCAGUACAUCAAUUUCAUCAAACGAAAUUCGCCGUGGUCAUUUGUCUGGUAUUCAUCACUGAUUAAGAUGAGAGCCUAUCGCGUCUGGUCAGCAGAGCAACUUUCUAAAGGACUGCUUGAACGUUAGAAAGACAGUACAUCAAUUUCAUCAAAGGAAUUUCGUCGUGGUCAUUUUGUCUGAUAUUCAUCACUGAGCAAGAUGAGAGCUUAUCGAGUCUGGCCAGCAGAGCAAUUUUCUAAGACACUGCUUGAAAGUUAGAAAGACAGUACAUCAAUUCAUCAAAAGAAAUGCCUCGUCAUUUGUCUGGUAUUCAUCACCGAGCAAGAUGAAAGCCUAUCGAAUCUGGCCAGUAUGCAAAGCAACCUUUUAAGAGACUGCUUGAACGUUAGAAAGACAGUACAUCAAUUUCAUCAAAAGAAUUUCGUCGUGGUCAUUUGUCUGGUAUUCGUCACUGAGCAAGAUGAGAGCCUAUCGAGUCUGGCCAGCAGA